rnacentral:rRNA from 1 species
AUGGAGCCGACCUUGAAAUACCACCCUUUAAUGUUUGAUGUUCUAACGUUGACCCGUGAUCCGGGUUGCGGACAGUGUCUGGUGGGUAGUUUGACUGGGGCGGUCUCCUCCUAAAGAGUAACGGAGGAGCACGAAGGUUGGCUAAUCCUGGUCGGACAUCAGGAGGUUAGUGCAAUGGCAUAAGCCAGCUUGACUGCGAGCGUGACGGCGCGAGCAGGUGCGAAAGCAGGUCAUAGUGAUCCGGUGGUUCUGAAUGGAAGGGCCAUCGCUCAACGGAUAAAAGGUACUCCGGGGAUAACAGGCUGAUACCGCCCAAGAGUUCAUAUCGACGGCGGUGUUUGGCACCUCGAUGUCGGCUCAUCACAUCCUGGGGCUGAAGUAGGUCCCAAGGGUAUGGCUGUUCGCCAUUUAAAGUGGUACGCGAGCUGGGUUUAGAACGUCGUGAGACAGUUCGGUCCCUAUCUGCCGUGGGCGCUGGAGAACUGAGGGGGGCUGCUCCUAGUACGAGAGGACCGGAGUGGACGCAUCACUGGUGUUCGGGUUGUCAUGCCAAUGGCACUGCCCGGUAGCUAAAUGCGGAAGAGAUAAGUGCUGAAAGCAUCUAAGCACGAAACUUGCCCCGAGAUGAGUUCUCCCUGACCCUUUAAGGGUCCUGAAGGAACGUUGAAGACGACGACGUUGAUAGGCCGGGUGUGUAAGCGCAGCGAUGCGUUGAGCUAACCGGUACUAAUGAGCCGUGAGGCUUAACCUUACAACGCCGAAGCUGUU